UUAAUUACACUAUUGCAAACAGAUUCAAUAUUGAUAUGUUUUGCAAUCACAUACUGUAUAAUUAUUGCUAUACUUUGUCUAAAGCUCUCAAAUUAUUAGAACACGUAAUCAGGUGCCAAACCAUAUGAUGCUUAACUGGUUCUCACUGUGAUUGAUUUGAUUUGACCACACUAACCCUUCCACUUUGUUCUCUCUGUGCGUGCUAGCUGUAACUGCAUUAUUCUCAGAUUUCUAUGGCUGAAAAUGCAAAGCGUCUCAUCAUCGGAAUCGACCUUGGCACCACCUAUUCUUGCGUCGGAGUCUGGCACCACGGCGGUGUCCAAAUCAUCACCAACGACCACGGCAACCGGACUACCCCUUCUUACGUUGCUUUCACCGACUCCGAACGCUUAAUUGGCGAUGCUGCCAAGAGCCAGGUCACCAGGAACCCCGUCAAUACAGUCUUCGGUAUACCAUCUAUUCAACUUUUCUUUACCUUCACAUUUUGGCUGUUCUGUUUAAAUCUAUGCAGUAGCUGUGUGGAGUGUUGGAGACAUUUGCUCUGUUGAUUUCGAUACACUUAUUGCUUAAUUAAUUGAAUUGAAUUGAAUUGAUUUGUGCUUAAUUAUUAUAGAUGCCAAGCGUUUGAUUGGAAGGAGAUUCUCUGAUGCUUCCGUUCAGAGUGACAUGAAGCUAUGGCCAUUCAAGGUUAUUGCUGGUGGUACUGGAGACAAGCCAAUGAUUGUUGUUAACUACAAGAAUGAGGAGAAGCAACUCACUGCUGAGGAGAUUUCCUCCAUGGUCCUCCUCAAGAUGCGUGAGAUCGCCGAGGAUUUUCUUGGUUCCACCGUGAAGGACGUUGUUGUCACUGUUCCAGCAUACUUCAAUGACUCUCAGCGCCAGGCCACCAAGGAUGCUGGUGUCAUUGCUGGCCUUAAUGUCAUGCGUAUCAUCAACGAACCCACUGCUGCUGCCCUUGCCUAUGGCCUUGAUAUGGAGCCUGUCGUUGACGAUGAGGAUGAAAUGAACGUUUUGAUUUUUGACCUUGGUGGUGGUACUUUUGAUGUAUCUCUUCUAUCCAUUGUAGACAGUGUCGUUGAAGUUCUUGCCACUACAGGAGACAGCCAUCUUGGAGGUGAAGACUUCGAUAACAGGAUGGUUGAGAAUUUUGUUGAGGAAUUCAAGAGGAAGCAUGAGAAGGAAAUUAGUGGGAACCCGAGGGCUUUAAGAAAGUUGAGGACCGCAUGUGAAAGGGCAAAGAGGAUACUCUCAUCCACUGUACAGACCACCAUUGAGAUUGACUCAUUGUAUGAAGGUAUUGACUUCUAUACCACAAUCACUCGUGACAGGUUUGAAGAACUCAACAUGGACCUCUUCAGCAACUGCAUGGACACUGUUGAGCGGUGUUUGAGGGACGCUAAAAUGGACAAGAGCAGUGUACAUGAUAUUGUUCUUGUUGGUGGGUCAACUAGGAUCCCAAAAGUGCAACAGUUGUUGAAGGAUUUAUUCAAUGGGAAGGAACUCUGCAAGAGCAUCAACCCCGAUGAGGCUGUUGCUUAUGGAGCUGCUCUCCAGGCUGCUAUCUUGAACGAUGUGGAGAACAAGAAGGUUCAGGAGCUUACGUUGGUGGAUGUCACUGCCCUUUCACUUGGUGUGGAAACUGUUGGUGGUGUCAUGACUGUCCUGAUUCCAAAGAACCGUCCAAUCCCGUACAAGAAGGAGCAGGUUUUCUCAACCUACUCCGACAACCAGCUUAGUGUGUUGAUCAGGGUCUACGAGGGUGAGAGAACCAGUACCAGGGACAACAACUUGCUUGGUAAAUUCGAGCUUUCUGGCAUCCUUCCUGCUCCAAGGGGUGUUCCUCAGAUCAAUGUUUGCUUUCAAAUUGAUCACAAUGGUAUCAUGAAUGUCUCUGCUGAAGACCAGACUACUGGGAAGAAAAACAAUAUCACUAUUACAAAUGGCGAGGGCAGGCUCUCAAAGGAGGAGAUUGAGAAGAUGGUGCAGGAGGCGGAGAAGUACAAGGCUGAGGAUGAGGAGUACAAGAAGAACGUAAAGGCCAAGAUUGCCUUGGAACUAGCGGUGGAGAGGCACAGUUUUACAAAAGAUGCUCCAGAUCAACACUCGGAGGCGGAGAAGUACGAUUCUACAAAAGAUUCUCCAUACCUACGCUUGGAGGGGCAUGUGGUACAUGAUACUCGCCAUCAGGUUACAUUACCAACCCCAAGUUUACACCCCUUCCCUUCGGGAAACUUUGGGUAUUAUUUUAACUCUACAAAAAAGGCUUCACAGAAAAUUAUAGAGGCACUAAAAGAUGAUAAAUUCUAUGUAAUUGGAUUGCAUGGAAAGAAGGGUUCUGGUAAAACAUCAUUAGUGAAAGCUGAGAUGAAUGAGUAUGAAAAGAUUUUUCAUAGAGUUAUAUUUCCCACAGUUUCCAAUAACCAAGAUGCCAAGAGCAUUCAGGAGGGAAUUGCUAGCUCGCUGAAUGUGCAUUUUGAAAGAGAUGACAGUGAUGGCUUGAGAGCAAUGAAAAUAAUUAUGGCAUUAGAAAGGAAGGAUAGAACUAUUCUGGUCAUUUUGGAUAAUUUUCCGACAAAGUCUCAACCGCAGGAAUUAGGUAUUCCUUUUAGUAGCAGACAAUGCAAGGUUCUUUUAACCACACGUGACGAGGCAGACUGUGUCUUGAUGAGAUGUGACCAUUCUAUUUCUCUGGAUCCCUUAUCUAGUGAGGAAGCUUUGACACUGCUACAAAAACUUUCUGGUGUUAACUCUCAAUCUGCUCUAUUUGAAGUGGCACAGGAAGUUGCUUCUAAAUGCAAUGGCUUACCUGGAUUGAUUGAAAAGGUGGCGACUUCCUUGAAAAAUAAAUCCUUGGAAAAUUGGAAACAAUCAUUAGUCAGUCUAAGCCACUCAACUGCCCGCUACCAGAUUUUUAUCAGUUUUAGAGGAGGCGAUACUAGACAUGUUUUUACAAACCACCUCCAUUAUGCUUUGUGCCAGAAGGGGUUCAUGACCUUCAAAGAUGAUGAAUCAUUGGAGGGUGGGGUCCCAAUUGAGAAACUUCUUGACGACAUUGAAGAAUCGAGAUUUGCAAUUGUUAUUUUAUCCAAAAAUUAUGCAGACUCUGAAUGGUGUCUCAAAGAACUGGUCAAAAUUCUUGAGUGCAAGGAUAAGGAAAGUAGGAACCAACUUGUUUUGCCAAUCUUCUAUGAAGUACCGCCCACAGACGUAAGGCAUGUACGAAAUAGUUAUGCUGAUGCCAUGGCCAAACAUGUAAACAAUGGAAAAGAUUCAUAUAUAGUUCUAACAUGGAAGAAGGCUUUAUAUGAUAUUUGUACGCUGACGGGAUUUGAAAAGCCUCAUGACUGGUAAGUAGUUUACUUAUUUACUAUUAGUUAGACUUUAUGUGUUUCUGUAAUUACACUAAAUUUAUUGUAAAAUUCUGUCAAUUAAUACAUUAAUCCACUAAAAUCUUUUACCCAAAUACAUCCUUCUUAGUUAAAUUUCAUAAAUGGUGACUCAUCUACUAGUACAACCUCUUAAUAAUUUGAUAUGUUACCUCAUUUUUUAUAUUUUAAUUAUCUUAUUAAAUGUGAUUUUGUUAACAAAAAAUAAAACAAAAAUACUUCUUGCUUCAAUGUACUUUAAGUAUCUUGUGUGAUAUCAUAUAUUUUUUGUAAAGAAUAUUCAAUCAAGGUUAGUUUUAUAUAAGUUUUAUGAAAUGGAUUGCUAGUGAAAGAAAAUGAAAUUUGAACACAUCAUGAAUUGAAAUUAUUUUUUUAUAUGCUUUGUCAGGACCAGAGAUCAAUUUAUUGAUAAGAUUGUCAAUUUUGCCUGCGAUCACAGACAUCGCUUGCAUAUACAAAGCAUGUAUAUGAACUAGAAGAGAAAUUUCAGCUUCUCUUGCAAUGAGUGCAACACAAGACAAAACAGGUUACAAAUGGUUACCUGCUCAAAAAUGGACUAUUGUGGUUGUAAUUUAUUUUGGACACAGUUCUUGGGAGAUUUUCACAAAGCAUCUGUAUGAUCCUUUGUGUAAGGAGGGAAUUCAUACCUUCUAAGAUGAUCAAUCAUUGGAGGAGAGGCCCCAAUUGAGGAACUUCUUGGAGCCAUUAAAGAAUUAAUGUUGGUGGACCACUACACUGUUUUUGGAUGAUGGAUUUAAUGGAAGGAAUGUUGUUGUCUGAAGAUGCUCCCAUGAAUUUGGUAGAUGAGUAGUGUGGUAGUGUUCCCAAUUGAUGACGGCAGUGGCGGUCGCAUUCUCGUACUCUGCCUGCACCUCUCUUUUGCUCACUCGUUCCUCUCUCUCACUUCAUCUUCUUCCAUCUCUUAAGGUGAAAUUUCAAAUACGGUUUUAUAGUUUUCGAUUUCAAAUUGGUGAAUUUGAUUCCCUGUUAUCAUGUUUUGUGGAUCUGGAUCUCAUUUAUGAUACUUACUCUGCAUUUGAACUGACUAAUUCCUUUCUCUAGUGUUUCCUUUCUCAAUGAUUUUUGUUAUCUGCUUCUUUGCCUAAUCAACUCAAUAUGCUGUGGCUGUGAAAUUUGUCAAUUUUAUGUGAUUAAUUGUAAUUCAUUAGUCAGAUAUAUAGGAAUCUUAGUACAUUUCCAUUAUGGUACUCAACCAAGAGAGCUUCAGCAUACAUUAUUGUUAUGUCUUCUUACUCAGCAUAUGGUACUAUUUUUUGUUUUGUUUUUGCAACUUGCUAGUAGCUUUUACAUACAUGAAGUGCGAUAUCUGUUAACUGAUGUUUAAUCAGUUUCUUGAUUUUGUUAGAUAGCUAACAUAUGGUGGUUAUGUCACAGUUAUGUUAUUCAUAUAUGUUAACUGAUGAAGUCAACAACACCCCACAUGUUAUGCAAUACUCACUGCUUCUGGUGGAUUUGGUGUCUUGUUGAGCAGCUGAAGAUUUCUUUCCUCCCCUGGUAAUUAUGAAUGCAUUUCUUUUCUCUUGGAGAUAUAGGUUAUUUAAUAUGCACAGAAGAAGGGUGAAAGCUAUAUUGUCCAGUGAAGUUUCCACAUCCAUUCAUGUGACGCCGUGGUUAAUUCUGAUGGAGUUGACUCCCGAACAACAAAGGAGGAAAGAAGAACAUCUGAUGAGAUCGCCGCCCUAGUUAUCCUCGAUAAUCUCAAAGCUUUAGUUCUAGACUCAUACAACAGAUUCCCCAUUGAUAAGCUUCUUGAAGCCAUUGAAGAGUCAAGGUUUGUAAUUGUUGUUUUGUCAGAAAAUUUUGCAGACUCUAAAUGGUGUCUUAAAGAACUUGUCAAGAUUCUUGAUUGUCGAAAAACGAAGAAACAAUUGGUUUUGCCAAUUUUUUAUGAAGUGGAACCAACCGACACAAGGCAUCUACAAGGGAGGUAUGGUGAAGCUAUGGCCGAACAUGAAAAAAAGUUAGCCAAAGAUUCUAAGAGGGUAUUGGAAUGGACAUUAGCUUUGAGUGAUAUUUCCCAACUGAAAGGAGAACAUUUCCGCAUUUCCAACUUCAAAGGAGAGCAUUACAAAAGGUACGUAUGUUGGCAAUUAAAUCGAAUUUUAUGUUUUUUACAAAUAUUUAAAGAUGGUGUUGGGCCGGCUGAAGAUGAAGAGUUUGACUAGCUCACAGCUUGUACACACUUUUAUUAUUAAUAUAAGUGUUGACUUUUAAAAGAAGUAAAAAAAACCUUUUAAUGAGUAAUCUAUAUCUAAAACAUAAAUGAUAAGGUGUUGUAUAUACUUUUUUACAGGUACAGAGAUCAACUUAUUGGAAAGAUCAUAAGAUUUGCCCAUAAUAACAAACAUCGCUUGCAUAUACAAAGCAUGUAUAUGAACUAGAUGAAAGACUUCUGCCAAUAUUAUAUUUGGAGCUGUUGUUGAUGAUCGUUACACCGGAGAGAUUCAUGUGACUAUCAUUGCCACUGGCUUUUCACAAUUUUUUCAGAAGAAGCUGCUAACAGAUCCAAUGGCUGCAAAACUUCUUGACAAAGUGGCCGAGGGAAAAGAAAGUAAGACAGUGCCUUCUCCCCUCAAAUCCUCAAACUUAUGUUCCAAAGUUUAAUCUAGAGCAACAACACCCUCACGAAACCUCUUUUUUAGUUGCAUAGUUCGAUUUUUUUUUCUUGUUAGUUAUCAUUUUAUUGUAGUCACUCAGUUGUUUGAUGGUCUUGAAGCUUAUUUGCUUUGAGAUGUCAUUAUUCAUAUGGUUUAUGUAACCAUGCGCUUAAGUGUGUGUAGCUCACAAACAGUUUUUGUUUGUGAAAUGGAUAUAUAUGUUGAUUAUUCUUCUAUCUAAUCAAAAUUCCACAAUGCCUCUAACUACUUGAAGAGGUUGUGCUUCAUAUUACUCUAUUUUGCUUUUGUAAGGCUACCUGAAGUUAUCAUUGGUUUUGUUUCUGCACUUUCUGCCCUUUCUCUUUAUACAUGUCCUGUUCUCAAGUCCUCAAACUUACCUUCCAAAGUUGAAUCUAGUUGCAUAGUUCUUUGUCUAGUUGCAUAGUUCUUUGACCCUUUUCAAUAGUCAUUCAACUGUUUGAUGAUCUUAUAAACUUAUUUAAUUUGUUGAGAUGUCAUUACUCAUAUGGUUUAUGUAAUCAUGAGCUUAAGUGUAUUCACAAUAUAUAUAAUGUGUAGGGUUAUAUGGAUAUGCAUGAUUACUUGCUUUGUUUGAAUAAAGGAUACAUUAAUCAUUAUUGUGGUCCAUACAUUAGUACAUGAUCAUUCUUAUUCUUUCUAUAAUGGCAAAUAAACAUCUUCUGAUUGUGCAGUGCCUUUUCUCCAAAUUUAAAGCUACAAAUUAAGCAAUGAUAUCAGAAACAAGUAUUUUAUUUUCUUUCAAACUCACUUAAUUUAUUCCGACUCAUUUCCUACAAGUUGGAAAUUUUAAAACAGAACAAAUGUAAGUCUCUCAAAAAUUCACAAUUAUAUCCCUUAACAAGCAUUCCCUUCUUAGUUUCUUCAUUUCCAACAGAGAUCUGUCUUGGUUCCAAGCUGAGGUGUUUCCAUGCAUAAUAUUUUUAUGAGUGAAGACCGUUCUUCACAAAUUUUUAACUGGAUAACUUAGUCCCUUCCCUUGACAAAAAUAAAAUCUAAAUUAGUCCUUUAACAUUUUCAUACUUUGGGCAAACUAAGCCCCAAUUCGUUAUAACAGAGGGACUAAUUUAUCCCCGGUAUGAAAAUAUCAGCGACUAAUUUGGUUUUUAUUUUUGUUAGGAAAUAAAUUGUUCCGUCAGAAAUUUGUGAGGACCAAUCUACUUCUAAUAUAAUAAAUUUGAUUACCACCAAGUAUACUAAUUUGUCCUUACCAAUUUUAAUAAUAUUUCAAAUUUUGUAUGAUACGUUGUAAAUUUACUCUAUUUUCUUCGAAGGGUUUGUCUAAUAUGUGUAAUAUUGCACAUGUUAAAACAACCAAAAAUUUAUCGGUUAUUCAAUAAAUCUGAAUAAUUGACUUUUACUAAUAAUUAAGGAGGUAAGGAGUAUCAAAUAAAAGUCAAGAGUAGGCAUGACAAUAUAACUCAUAUUCGCGGGUACUCACUCACCUCGUCCCAAUUUUGCCAGGAAAAAACCGAAUUGACUGGGUUUGUGAAAACCCAAAUUUAAUGGGUUUGGAAUUAGGAGUAGCAAAAUCUGUCUCCGACCCACCUCUUUGCCAAUUUGCCAUGCCUAGUCAAGAGAAAUACUCGAACUGUAGCUCUCAAAUCUGAGUAAUUAUAGUUGGCCUUAACCAAAAGAAAAGCUAAAUUAUUAGAACCAAAUGUCAACUAAAGUAACGUAUUGCAUUUUCUUCUAUGAACAUUUGAGCGGUGACAGAUGUAUCCAACGGUUUAGAUAGUCGCAGGAAACUGUGGCGGGAGAGGACUCAGACCCCACAGUAAUUAAGAUUUAAAUUUAAACUCUAAACACUCAGAUUGAUUUUGAUGUUGAUUUGACCACACUAACUAACCCUUCCUCUUCGUUCUUCUCACUGUGAAACCUUGACCACCAUUCUUAGACUUCUAUGGCCGAAAAUGCAAAGCGUUUCAUCAUUGGAAUCGACCUCGGCACCACCUACUCUUGCGUCGGAGUCUGGCAUCACGACACUGUCCAAAUCAUCACCAACGACCACGGCAACCGGACCACCCCUUCUUACGUCGCUUUCACUGACUCCGAACGCUUAAUUGGUGAUGCUGCCAAGAUCCAGGUCACCAGGAACCCCGUCAACACCGUCUUCGGUAUACCAUUUAUUCAACUUCUCGGCUGUUCUGUUUGAAUCUAUGCAG
rnacentral:lncRNA from 1 species